rnacentral:rRNA from 1 species
CCUACGGGUGGCAGCAGUGGGGAAUAUUGCACAAUGGGCGAAACCCUGAUGCAGCGACGCCGCGUGAGUGAAGAAGUAUCUAGGUAUGUAAAGCUCCUUCAGUAGGGAAGAAGAAAGACGGUACCUGACUAAGAAGCCUCGACUAACUACGUGACAGCAGCCUCGGUAAUACGGAGGGGGCAAGCGUUAUCCGGAUUUACUGGGUGUAAAGGGAUCGUAGACGGCUUUGCAAGUCUGAAGUGAAAGCCCAGGGCUCAACCCUGGGACUGCUUUGGAAACUGUGGAGCUAGAGUGCAGGAGAGGUAAGUGGAAUUCCUGGUGUAGCGGUGAAAUGCGUAGAUAUUAGGAGGAACUCCAGUGGCGAAGGCAGCUUACUGGAGAGUAACUGACGUUGAGGCUCGAAAGCGUGGGGAGCAAACAGGAUUAGAUACCCCAGUAGUC